AUAAAGGCUAUGAAAGAGAGAGUAGUUAUCUGAAACCUUUUCAGGGAGAGGUUGUCGUAGACUGGAAGCAACCUUAAGGUGAUAGAUAAUGAAGUUCCCUCUGGAGCUGUGGGCUGAACCUUUAGUAGGCCUUACCGGGAAGCAUUUUAUUCCCUGCUUUCCGUUAUUUAAAUAAGUGAUCUGUUUUUAGCAGAUAAUUAGGGUGGUACCACGAAUCUCUCGUCCCUUGG
rnacentral:ncRNA from 1 species